GCUGCCGGCCAGCCAGACCCGGGCGUGAAUGGUGGGGGCCUCUUGGCUGUGUGCCCUGGAGCAAGGAGCAUGACGUCUCUGAACCUGCACAUCUUUAGCUGCGCAGUGGGAAUGAGCUCCUGAGGAACAGCUUCCUGCCACUUCACUCCAAAAGUCUGCUCUCUUCCAUGAAAUACCAAAACAAACAGGGGGAAAAAACAAGCCUUUGAACUGCUAUUUGGCACCCCUGAGAGGUGUGGCCAAUCUGACUUGCUGUUGGUCCAUGCGCUCCAUCCCUGGCCUGGAUCGUGGUCCCUGAGCACUCCUCGGUUUCUGCACUGCCCUAACCAGGGAGCAAGGGACUCCUCCCCGGACACAGAGAGGCUGCACCCAGUGCUCUCCAGAUACGGCCACAGCGCUGAGAGUUUUCAAAUUCUCACUGCGUGCUUGGCCCUCCAUUCUGCAUGCAUCAUAUCACAUAACCCUGCCAAUAAGCCACAAGGUUAAUAAUAGUUCAGAAGGUAAGGGGAAGGAGACCAGAGGAGUUCACGUUCAAGGGGCUCAGAGCCUCCUUCUCCCACUGUGGUACCCGGGCAGCUCCUUGUCCUGCCCUGCUCUCCAGGGAGCCUCCUGCCCUGGCUUUUGUAACGGAGCCAGAGAGUGGACGCAUCAUUGGACCCUGAGCGGCUAGAGGGGGAGAGAAAGGUCCGAGGAGGAAGAGACUGUGCUCCUGGCUGUGGAAGAAGGGAAAGCACUGGAAGGAGAGGCCGGCGGAAUUUUAGAGAAGAUUUACCUGUUGCCUUCACAGAACUUAAGAAAUGCAAGAAAACAACUUGAACUCGGGACUCUCUCCUUGCAGGCGGCCUGCCUGAGAGCCUGAACGGCACAGAGUCGUGGCUUUAAAGUUGCACGAAGCGGGGCGCCUGGGGGGCU